rnacentral:rRNA from 1 species
UACGUAGGGUGCGAGCGUUGUCCGGAAUUAUUGGGCGUAAAGAGCUCGUAGGCGGUUUGUUGCGUCGGCUGUAAAAUCCCGAGGCUCAACCUCGGGUCUGCAGUCGAUACGAGCAAACUAGAGUGUUGCAGGGGAGACUGGAAUUCCUGGUGUAGCGGUGAAAUGCGCAGAUAUCAGGAGGAACACCGGUGGCGAAGGCGGGUCUCUGGGCAACAACUGACGCUGAGGAGCGAAAGCGUGGGGAGCGAACAGG